UACGUAGGGGGCUAGCGUUGUCCGGAAUCAUUGGGCGUAAAGAGCGUGUAGGCGGCCCGGUAAGUCCGCUGUAAAAGUCAAAGGCUCAACCUUUGAAUGUCAGUGGAUACUGCCGGGCUAGAGUCCGGAAGAGGCGAGUGGAACUCCUGGUGUAGCGGUGAAAUGCGCAGAUAUCAGGAGGAACACCAAUGGCGAAGGCAGCUCGCUGGGACGUGACUGACGCUGAGACGCGAAAGCGUGGGGAGCAAACAGG
rnacentral:rRNA from 1 species